rnacentral:rRNA from 1 species
GAACGCUGGCGGCGUGCCUAAUACAUGCAAGUCGAACGCUUCUUUUUCCACCGGAGCUUGCUCCACCGGAAAAAGAGGAGUGGCGAACGGGUGAGUAACACGUGGGUAACCUGCCCAUCAGAAGGGGAUAACACUUGGAAACAGGUGCUAAUACCGUAUAACAAUCGAAACCGCAUGGUUUUGAUUUGAAAGGCGCUUUCGGGUGUCGCUGAUGGAUGGACCCGCGGUGCAUUAGCUAGUUGGUGAGGUAACGGCUCACCAAGGCCACGAUGCAUAGCCGACCUGAGAGGGUGAUCGGCCACAUUGGGACUGAGACACGGCCCAAACUCCUACGGGAGGCAGCAGUAGGGAAUCUUCGGCAAUGGACGAAAGUCUGACCGAGCAACGCCGCGUGAGUGAAGAAGGUUUUCGGAUCGUAAAACUCUGUUGUUAGAGAAGAACAAGGAUGAGAGUAACUGUUCAUCCCUUGACGGUAUCUAACCAGAAAGCCACGGCUAACUACGUGCCAGCAGCCGCGGUAAUACGUAGGUGGCAAGCGUUGUCCGGAUUUAUUGGGCGUAAAGCGAGCGCAGGCGGUUUCUUAAGUCUGAUGUGAAAGCCCCCGGCUCAACCGGGGAGGGUCAUUGGAAACUGGGAGACUUGAGUGCAGAAGAGGAGAGUGGAAUUCCAUGUGUAGCGGCGAAAUGCGUAGAUAUAUGGAGGAACACCAGUGGCGAAGGCGGCUCUCUGGUCUGUAACUGACGCUGAGGCUCGAAAGCGUGGGGAGCAAACAGGAUUAGAUACCCUGGUAGUCCACGCCGUAAACGAUGAGUGCUAAGUGUUGGAGGGUUUCCGCCCUUCAGUGCUGCAGCUAACGCAUUAAGCACUCCGCCUGGGGAGUACGACCGCAAGGUUGAAACUCAAAGGAAUUGACGGGGGCCCGCACAAGCGGUGGAGCAUGUGGUUUAAUUCGAAGCAACGCGAAGAACCUUACCAGGUCUUGACAUCCUUUGACCACUCUAGAGAUAGAGCUUCCCCUUCGGGGGCAAAGUGACAGGUGGUGCAUGGUUGUCGUCAGCUCGUGUCGUGAGAUGUUGGGUUAAGUCCCGCAACGAGCGCAACCCUUAUUGUUAGUUGCCAUCAUUCAGUUGGGCACUCUAGCAAGACUGCCGGUGACAAACCGGAGGAAGGUGGGGAUGACGUCAAAUCAUCAUGCCCCUUAUGACCUGGGCUACACACGUGCUACAAUGGGAAGUACAACGAGUCGCGAAGUCGCGAGGCUAAGCUAAUCUCUUAAAGCUUCUCUCAGUUCGGAUUGCAGGCUGCAACUCGCCUGCAUGAAGCCGGAAUCGCUAGUAAUCGCGGAUCAGCACGCCGCGGUGAAUACGUUCCCGGGCCUUGUACACACCGCCCGUCACACCACGAGAGUUUGUAACACCCGAAGUCGGUGAGGUAACCUUUUGGAGCCAGCCGCCUAAGGUGGGAUAGAUGAUUGGGGUG